ensembl:snRNA U6 U6 spliceosomal RNA
GUUCUCACUUCUACAGCACACAUCCUAAAAUUGGAAUGAUACUGAGAAGAUUAGCAUGGCCGCUGAAUAAGGAUGACACGCAAAUUCGUGAAGCGUUCCAUAUUUUU